rnacentral:snRNA from 1 species
AAAUUAACACACACCAUGAUCAGGCAGGUGGUUUUCCCAGGGCGAGGCUCAUCCCCUGCACUCCGGGUAUGCUGACCCCUGCGAUUUUCCCAAAUGCGGGAAAUCCGACUGCAUAAUUUGUGGUAGUGGGGGACUGCGUUCGUGCUCUCCCCUG